UAAGCCACGCAUUAUCACCUAGGGAUUAGAUAGACCCAAAACAGGAUCCGACACAAGAUCCGAUACCUUAUCUCGCUGCGGCGUUACACCCUCCGAGCAUCGUGACGGAGGUGGCACUGGGUCGAGAGUUAGUUCAGCAGCACUUGACUCUUGGCAGCCCUGGCUGCAAGAAUGACAAAAAUGAGACAAAAAAGCACCCUCCUACGUCACUUUCUCCCCACCUGACUCACCUGCAAUCAAGAGAGGGCAGAAAAAAUAAAAAUGAAAGGAAGAAGCUGAAGUUGUUUGCUUUAUUAUCAUUCUUAAUCUACUAGUUCGGGUGUGUAUCAUUACAUAUAUACAGAGGAAGGGAAAGGUUCAGUGGAUUACUACAAUCAUCUCUAUUCGUAUACAGGUAACAUAUGUAGUAAUUAAUUAGUCACAGGAAAUUAUACACCUUUCACCUUACAUCAUGUCACUUUUCACACACACACACACACACACACACACACACACACACACACACACACACACAUGGGGGGGGUAGGUGUAUGACCCUGGUGGUGGUUUGACGAUGCUUCUACACCAUGAACGUGAAAAAAAAAAAAACUCGUAAAAACGCGGUUAAUCUUCUCGGCCUUGGAGAAAAGUUGAUAUGAGAGGAGGAAAUGCGUCUGAGGAUACCGACUAACUAAGCUGUGUGUGACCUGUUAAUCCCCGUGUCUUAGUGGAAGAUUUAUUCAUACGAAGCGAUGCAAGAAGGUAAUGGCGUGUGUGAAUAAUUAAGAGAAAAGGUACAGGUGAGGAGUGUUGGCAUACCUGCAGAACACCUCAUGCAUGUGCAAACUCUCAGGUGGGCUACUAAUUAUACACCUGUGACGUGUUUCUCAUUAGCGCCCUUCGUGUGUGUGUGUGUGUGUGUGUGUGUGUGUGUGUGUGUGUGUUCUGCGUUGAGAAGUUGAAUGAGAGAGGAAGAGAGGGAUAAAAGAAGGAGGGAGGGAGGAAGGGGGAAGGGAGGGAGGGAGGGAGAGAACACAGGAACAUAAGGAGAGAGGGAGGGAGGGAGGAAAGGAAAGAAGGAAAGAAAGAAAGAAGGAGGGAGGGAGAGAACAUUAGAACAUAAGGAGGGAGGGAGGGAGGGAGGGAAGGAAGGAAAGAAAGAAAGAAGGAAGGAGGGAGAGAACAUAAGAACAUAAGGAGGGAGGGAGGGAAGGAAGGAAGGAAGGAAAGAAAGAAAGAAGGAGGAAGGGAGAGAACAUCAGAACAUAAGGAGGGAGGGAGGGAGGGAAGGAAGGAAGGAAAGAAAGAAAGAAGGAGGGAGGGAGAGAACAUAAGAACAUAAGGAGGGAGGGAGGGAGGGAGGGAGGAAAAGAGGGAAAGAAAGAGAGAGAGAACAAAUGAACAUACGGGAAGGGAUGGAGGAAGCGAGGAAGAGUGAAGCGCACAGUACACAGACUUAACACUGUAUAUACUUAACCUAGCACAAGCCUCUUACUGCUAUCACUCAACAUACCAUUAUAUCACCAUGCUGGGGGGGGGGGGCACACAACACAGCUAACCCCGGCACCCAAAAGAGAUAUACUGAGGGGGGAAAUACGUGAUGGGGAGCGAUCAGAGUAAGAGCAACGAGAUGACAUGCUUCCUCACGACUUGCUUCAUUACGUUGCCUAGUGGAUUAUAUAAUUAUCAUUGGCACAGAGAGAGAGAGAGAGAGAGAGAGAGAGAGAGAGGAUGUGCUGGGGGAGGUGAGAAGUAGUGAUGACGGGUGUUACGUGGUGGUGGUGGCGUCUGGGGCCCCGCAUCACCGCAGACCCUCGGGCCGCCGCGCCGCCAAGGGGGACUGGUGCCCCAUGGUGGACGGCUACCAGGGCUACCUCGGUGCCGCCCUCCCCUGUCACUCCAAACGAUACUUCCUCUGCCGCUUUAAGUGAGCUCCCCCCCUGCCAACACCCUCCCAAGGACCAAGCCGUACUUCCUCUGUCCCGUAAUGAACACCACUGAGUGCCGGGGAUGGAACUCGUGCCUUCUGAGUAGAAGUCAGGGCAGCAUACCAACUACGCCACCGAUGAGCUAAAAGGUCAUCGGUGGCUGUUGUUGUUGUUGUUUGAUAAAUUUAUUGCGCAAUAGCGUCAGACAAAAUUUUUAGCAAAUGCAUCUGGUUUAACUAUAGACACACACACACACACACACACACACACACACACACACACACACACACACACUAAAACAGGAAGCAAGUUGAUGCACUAUACACAA